rnacentral:lncRNA from 1 species
UUUUGAUAGAAAGGUUUUUGUUGAAGAUCAGUUUUGUAGAGAAGUGGCACUGUUGAUUCAUACCCGAGGCAGAAACUGUAAAAGAUGGCAUGAGGGGUUGCGUCAACUAAACUGUUAUCCUUAGCUAUAACUAAAUAGAUACAUAUUAAGAUAGCUUGUAUGCGUUUGUAUUAGUUUAGAGCUAAUUAUAAAUGAGUAGUAGCUAGUCCAUGCUACUACUAUAGAACUGCAC